rnacentral:tRNA from 1 species
GUUUUAAUAGUUUAAACAAAACAUUGGUCUUGUAAAUCAAAAAUAAAAAUUAUUUUUUUUUAAAACU